UACGGAGGGGGCUAGCGUUGUUCGGAAAUACUGGGCGUAAAGCGCACGUAGGCGGUGGAGUAAGUCAGAGGUGAAAUCCCAGGGCUCAACCCUGGAACUGCCUUUGAAACUGCUACACUAGAAUCAUGGAGAGGUCAGUGGAAUUCCGAGUGUAGAGGUGAAAUUCGUAGAUAUUCGGAAGAACACCAGUGGCGAAGGCGACUGACUGGACAUGUAUUGACGCUGAGGUGGCGAAAGCGUGGGAGCAAACAGG
rnacentral:rRNA from 1 species